ACAGGGAUUGCCCUAGUAACGGCGAGUGAAGCGGCAACAGCUCAAAUUUGAAAUCUGGCUCUUUUAGAGUCCGAGUUGUAAUUUGCAGAGGGCGCUUUGGCGUUGGCAGCGGUCCAAGUUCUUUGGAACAGGACGUCACAGAGGGUGAGAAUCCCGUACGUGGUCGCUAGCCUUCGCCGUGUAAAGCCCCUUCGACGAGUCGAGUUGUUUGGGAAUGCAGCUCUAAAUGGGAGGUAAAUUUCUUCUAAAGCUAAAUACUGGCCAGAGACCGAUAGCGCACAAGUAGAGUGAUCGAAAGAUGAAAAGCACUUUGGAAAGAGAGUCAAAUAGCACGUGAAAUUGUUGAAAGGGAAGCGCUUGCAGCCAGACUUGCCUGUAGUUGCUUAUCCGGACUUUUGUCCGGUGCACUCUUCUGCGGGCAGGCCAGCAUCAGUCUAGGCGGUUGGAUAAAGGUCUCUGUCAUGUACCUCCCUUCGGGGAGGCCUUAUAGGGGAGACGACAUGCAACCAGCCUGGACUGAGGUCCGCGCAUCUGCUAGGAUGCUGGCGUAAUGGCUGUAAGCGGCCCGUCUUGAAACACGGACCAAGGAGUCUAACAUCUAUGCGAGUGUUUGGGUGUCAAGCCCAGACGCGUAAUGAAAGUGAACGGAGGUGGGAACCCUUUGGGUGCACCAUCGACCGAUCCUGAUGUCUUCGGAUGGAUUUGAGUAAGAGCAUGGCUGUUGGGACCCGAAAGAUGGUGAACUAUGCUUGAAUAGGGUGAAGCCAGAGGAAACUCUGGUGGAGGCUCGCAGCGGUUCUGACGUGCAAAUCGAUCGUCAAAUUUGGGCAUAGGGGCGAAAGACUAAUCGAACUAUCUAGUAGCUGGUUCCUGCCGAAGUUUCCCUCAGGAUAGCAGUAACGUAUUCAGUUUUAUGAGGUAAAGCGAAUGAUUAGAGGCCUGGGGGUUGAAACAACCUUCACCUAUUCUCAAACUUUAAAUAUGUAAGAAGUCCUUGUUACUUGAUUGAACGUGGACACUUGAAUGUACCGUUACUAGUGGGCCAUUUUUGGUAAGCAGAACUGGCGAUGCGGGAUGAACCGAACGCGGGGUUAAGGUGCCAGAAUAUACGCUCAUCAGACACCACAAAAGGUGUUAGUUCAUCUAGACAGCAGGACGGUGGCCAUGGAAGUCGGAAUCCGCUAAGGAGUGUGUAACAACUCACCUGCCGAAUGAACUAGCCCUGAAAAUGGAUGGCGCUCAAGCGUAUUACCCAUACCCCGCCGCCGGGGCAGAAUUUAUGCCCCGGCGAGUAGGCAGGCGUGGAGGCUCGUGACGAAGCCUUGG
rnacentral:rRNA from 2 species